rnacentral:rRNA from 1 species
AACGAACGCUGGCGGCAGGCCUAACACAUGCAAGUCGAACGCACCGCAAGGUGAGUGGCGCACGGGUGAGUAACACGUGGGAAUGUACCCUUUGGUUCGGAAUAACGUUUGGAAACGAACGCUAAUACCGGAUGAGCCCUGCGGGGGAAAGAUUUAUCGCCAAAGGAGCAGCCCGCGUCUGAUUAGCUAGUUGGUGGGGUAAAGGCCUACCAAGGCGACGAUCAGUAGCUGGUCUGAGAGGAUGAUCAGCCACACUGGGACUGAGACACGGCCCAGACUCCUACGAGAGGCAGCAGUGGGGAAUAUUGGACAAUGGGCGCAAGCCUGAUCCAGCCAUGCGCGUGAGUGAUGAAGGCCCUAGGGUUGUAAAGCUCUUUCAACGGUGAAGAUAAUAGACGGUAACCGUAGAAGAAGACCCC